GUUUGAUCCUGGCUCAGAUUGAACGCUGGCGGCAGGCCUAACACAUGCAAGUCGAGCGGUAACAGGAAUUAGCUUGCUAAUUCGCUGACGAGCGGCGGACGGGUGAGUAAUGCCUGGGAAUAUGCCUUAGUGUGGGGGAUAACUAUUGGAAACGAUAGCUAAUACCGCAUAAUGUCUUCGGACCAAAGAGGGGGACCUUCGGGCCUCUCGCGCUAAGAUUAGCCCAGGUGAGAUUAGCUUGUUGGUGAGGUAAGAGCUCACCAAGGCGACGAUCUCUAGCUGGUCUGAGAGGAUGAUCAGCCACACUGGAACUGAGACACGGUCCAGACUCCUACGGGAGGCAGCAGUGGGGAAUAUUGCACAAUGGGCGCAAGCCUGAUGCAGCCAUGCCGCGUGUAUGAAGAAGGCCUUCGGGUUGUAAAGUACUUUCAGUGGGGAGGAAGGUGUUGUCGUUAAUAGCGGCAGCAUUUGACGUUACCCACAGAAGAAGCACCGGCUAACUCCGUGCCAGCAGCCGCGGUAAUACGGAGGGUGCGAGCGUUAAUCGGAAUUACUGGGCGUAAAGCGCAUGCAGGUGGUUCAUUAAGUCAGAUGUGAAAGCCCGGGGCUCAACCUCGGAACCGCAUUUGAAACUGGUGAACUAGAGUGCUGUAGAGGGGGGUAGAAUUUCA
rnacentral:rRNA from 1 species